UACGUAGGUGGCAAGCGUUGUCCGGAUUUACUGGGCGUAAAGAGCGCGCAGGCGGUCGUUCAAGUCGCGUGUGAAAGCCCCCGGCUCAACUGGGGAGGGUCACGCGAUACUGAUCGACUGGAAGGCAGGAGAGGGUAGUGGAAUUCCCGGUGUAGUGGUGAAAUGCGUAGAUAUCGGGAGGAACACCAGUGGCGAAGGCGACUACCUGGCCUGUUCUUGACGCUGAGGCGCGAAAGCUAGGGGAGCGAAAGGG
rnacentral:rRNA from 1 species